GUUUGCCCAAUCAGAGGUAGAGACGUCACACUUCCGGUCUGUCUCCUAUGGCCCCAGUCAGCCAGCAGCUCUCUGUUUGUCCACCGACAUGCUGACGGUCGGACGCUUCGUGUGAGCAGCAGAUAAAUAAAAUUCCCUCUAUGGCUUCUGGAGCGGGUCCGAGAGCGACGGGCACAGCCGGCAGCGACUUCCAGCACCGGGUCGCUUCACCCGACCAGAUGAGGUCCGUUCUUUUUGCUGUUCCAGUCUCAUCCCUCAGAGGGAAGUGAGACUGUGAGAAACAUCAGAUCCACCUGCCUCAUAGGUCUGCAGCCAACACAAUUUCAGAUGCUCAUUUUUGCCACUUUUUAGAAGUGAAGUGUUUUGUGCUUAGCUUUAGCAUCCAGUGCUAGUACCUGUCUGAUAUGAAAUAAAAACACCAUGUUUGAUUCAGUUGUUUUUGAGCCAGA